GACGAACGCUGGCGGCGUGCUUAACACAUGCAAGUCGAACGCUGAAGCUCAGCUUUUGUUGGGUGGAUGAGUGGCGAACGGGUGAGUAACACGUGAGUAACCUGCCUCCUUCUUUGGGAUAACGCCAGGAAACGGGUGCUAAUACUGGACAUCCACUGGUCUUCGCGUGGGGGCUGGGGGAAAGGGGUUUUCUGGUGGGGGAUGGGGUCGCGGCCUAUCGGCUUGUUGGGGGGGUGAUGGGCUAACAAGGCUUUGACGGGUAGCCGGCCUGAGGGGGUACCCGGUCACAUAGGCACUGAGCUACGGCCCACGCUCCGACGCGGGGCGGCAGUUGGGACUAUUGCACAAUGCGCGCACGCCUGAUGCCGCGUCGCCGCGUGAGGGCUGGGGGCCUUCGAGUUGUUUUCCUCUUUCGCACAUGCUCCAGCCGCAACCAUGGUUGUGGUGACGGUAGUGGGUAAAGAAGCGCCGGCUAACUACGUG
rnacentral:rRNA from 1 species